UCUAUUUUUAGAGAUAGAUUCUCUCUCUGUAUAGCCCCAAGAAGGCCUCAAACUCUGAUUCUUCUGCUCAGCCUCCCAAGUACUUGAGAUUACAGCUUCUCAGGAUUGGGAUUAUAGGCCUGUGUUACACCCUGGCUUUGCCUGAGCCACCUUCCCAACCUUCUGAACAAGCACAUGGGCUUCACAUGAGAGCAGAUACUCCAAGAGCUGUGAACUGGGGAAGCGGAAACAGCAUCUCACUAGAAGAUGAGAGAGAAAAACACGAAUGGGAAAAGAGAAGAAUCUGAAGGAAGGUAAGUGGGCCCUUAGGAGAGAAACAAGAGAUAGGAUGUUUUGUGCCAACUUCUGUCGGCGUGUGGUAUUGUGCCAACUCUACUGAGACUGGAGGAGGCAGUGGGAGGGAGCGGUGAGGACUGAGCUCCCUUGAGCGGCUCUGAUUUUGGGCGGAGAGGGAAUUGCAGGACCUCACACGCUCUUGGGUGUGGAUUUGGUGUGGGGAGAAUAAUUCUUAGACCACAGUGGCCACAAGCACCACAUCCAGGCAUUAAAAAUACAGACUUCAUUCUCUCAACCUUAUCUAUUUGCAGACAAGAAAAAUGCAGGUUCAGAAAGGUUAUAUCAACAGCCCAAAGCCACAGAGCUAGCAAGUGGCAGAUACAGGCUUGCUGCCAGGUGGCCUGGCUCUGACUGAUCAGGUGUCACUGAGCACCUUAUGUGCCAGAGAUGCAUGACAUUCUCAGCAAUCCUAGGCCCAAACAGUCCCCACUCUCAGUGAGCUCAUGUCAAACGGAGAAGACAGAAGUGGCCAAGCGCUUGGGCUUUUCCAGCUGACAGUCUGUUCCACUUGAGAAAGGACUGACCAGGAAGUGGAUGGCAGCAGGGACAUCUCCUCUGAGGACCCCAUAGUGUUUUCACUUUAGCUGAUUUUUAAAAAAGAUUUAUUGGCAUUUAUUGUAUGUAUGUUUCACCUAUAUGUAUGUAUGUGUGCUAUGUACACACAUGGUGAUCACAGAGAUCAGAAGAGAGUGUAAGUUAGAUCCUCUGGAGUUCUAGGUAGUUAUGAGCAAGUUGUCAUGUGGGUGCUAGGAGCUAAACUUCAGUCCUCUACAUGAACAGUAAGUGCUCCAACGGCUGAGCCAUCACCCUUGCCUCUGAUCCAAUUAUUGCAUAGAUUCGUGCCUGGUAUUUUCUUAGUAAUACGUUUAUAGCUCACCUUUCCACAAGAGGGAUUGCCUGCAUCUCACUGGAGUAUAGUGCCUGGAAGAAAGAGAGCUUAGAAGAAGCCUCUUGAAUGAUGGCACAGAAGGUGACAGACAGAGGCGAGAGAAAGAGAUGUGACUUGAAGAGAAGUGAGCCACGCAGUGGAGACUUGUUCCUCUCCACAGAGAACAGGUAGCCGUUAUCUGUGUUUACUGACUUUAAGCCUCCCAGUAUUAGCCUGGCACACUGUAAACCUGGCUGCCUUGGCAAGGUACAAGAAGCCCUCCCUUGUCUGCCUCUGCUGAGUCUCUCCCCUGUACUCAAGAUACUUUGCCUACCUUGUGCCUCAGGCUAAUGCAGCACUGCCAUGUUUGCUGUUUCCAGAAUGUUCUUCCUGUAUGUAACAAGACUUCUCAUCUCUGUCUAGUCUUUACUCACCAUGUUCCCUCUGCCUCGGAAGCUGCCCUAACCUGUGCACACCCAGGGAAACCAGACCCUUAUCCUCACAACAGAACUCACUUCUCUGAGUUUCCUUGGCCUAGGAGGUAGAAAAGGCCACAGCCAUGGCUUCCUUUUUCACUCUGCCAGCACAUUUCAUGGUUUACUGCGCAGCCUCUGUAAAGGAGGGAGCAAUCUUGUUAUCUCUAGCAAAAGCAAUCAACAGCUAUCCAAGAAUAGGUUCAGAAAACCACAACCAACAAUGUAUUCCCACUGCUUAAGGACACCCUGCCUUCUAGUUCUGGAUGAAUCACAGGCCAAUGAAAAGGAGGAGAGCAAAAGUUACUUAUCCCAAUCUUUUUAGCCUGUAUUGAGCAGAAUAAAGGAAGUUUUUGACAGGAACAGGUGUGGCCACAUUUCCCUGCCUCUCAAAAAAGCCUGAAUGUUCACUGAGUGCUUACAAAGGGUGACUCUGAAACAAGUGACUACUUAAGCCAGAGCUGAUGAGAUGCCUAGAAACUUGUAAGCAGUUUCUCCUCUUGUGGGAAGAAGACACAUAAGACUGGGGAUUGGGCCACUGACAACGACUCUAUGUUCAAAUGUAAUUAACUACAUGCUUACUUACAUAUGCUAGCGAGCCAUCUGGUCAGCCAGUCACUCCACAGCAAGUGAAAAUCAACAAGAGAAACCAGGCUCAGUAAGUUCAGCUCCUUACUCACUGGCAAUUCAGUGGGCAUUUUAAUAACUGUGAGUUACGUUUUUAAAGUCAGGCAUUGUACUUAAUCCCCAUUACUUUAAAUCAGUAGACAGUAUAAGUAGCAUUGGGUGAAGGAUCUUCCCCACCUUAACUGUGUAAGAAAUCUGUACGUAACUCCUCUUAACCCUUCUUACUCAGUCCACCCAAAGGCAACACAGGCAAUGCCUUUUCUAGACUACCACACACACACUGACCAAAGCACUAACGGAACAGGCUCCGUUUUCUCAGCUAAGAACCUAGGAACGUUAGACAUUGGUCAAUGGCACUUUCCUUUCUUAGAAGCCAGCAGAUAUGUAUCUUUUCUACUAAGGACAUCUCAAUCAGGAUAAAAGCAAAAGCUUCCUGUUUUCUUAGCACUUCCAGUUCACAUGGUGCAUUUGAGGAUAUAAACAUACCAUAAGCUGUAAGCACUUGGGAAUUGUAUUAAGUACCCACAUCUCUCUGCUGUUCCACUCUAUCUCCACAUUCCAUCACUCAGAUCCAGGACUCUCUUUGUUCCCUGUGAUCAGUGCUUCCGGGAGAAAUCUGGCAUCAGAUCUGAAGGAAAUGCCAUGGUGAAAUUUUCCUUAAGAUUAAUCACGCAGGUAAGUAAUUUCCCCUCCUCACCAAACAAUAUUUUCUAAAACUUCUUAGAAAAACAGUAAGACAGGACUGUGUGGUCACAAAAAUGGGAAUCUUAGGACUGACUUAAAUCAGUCAUACUACAUUGUAACGGUUGAAUAGCUUGCCCAACCCAGCCUGGAGGGCCCGGGAAGUAUAAGCCAGAGGCACCACAGACAAUUCUCAAGAUGAGCUGAGGAAAAAGGCUCCACUGGCUAUCCUCCUGCCUUCAGUAUUUCAGUUCUUAUCCUAUCCACACAUGGGGCUCAGCAUGCAGUCAGAAUCACCCCAAGACUCCAUUUUUAAAUACAUAGUGAGGCAUCAAGGGCUUUUUGUUUUGCUUUUUACAUAUGAAAACCUUAAAAGCCUUAUACCACUAAAGGAGUAUGGGGCAGAGAUAAGGAAGCAGUCUCCCAGGCAGUGGCCACACAGCUUGCUUCUCCAUCAGCACCAUCAGUCAUCAGUAAACCAAGAGUCAGCCUGGUAGAAAAGACAGGGUGGGCAGGGGGAUCUGUGGUUGAGAGCAGAGAACCACUGGCUAAUGGGAUUCAGAACAAACUGUCAGGAAAGGCGAAACACAACCAAAGAUCAGGAAAAGAAAGAGAGAUAUUCACAAAGAACCUCAGCUUGACCUCUGCUAGGUGGGGGUGACAGAGAUAUGCAGGAAGGAAACAAGCCACCCAAAGCAGAUCUUAUCACACACAGGGUCACAAGCCAAGAAGCCUAACUCCAAAAGUCAUGUGGCUACCAUUUGCCAUCACAUCUCAACUAAAUGUCUGCUUAAAGAAGUGUGUGUGUGUGUGUGUGUGUGUGUGUGUGUGUGUGUGUGUUUGCUUGCUUGCACACAGGUACCUGCAAGAGGCCAAAAGAAGGUAUCAGAUCCCCUGGAGCUUCAGUUGCCAAGGUUACAAACUGGUGGAUUUAGGUGCUCGAAAAGCAACUCGGCCCCUCAGUUAGAGCGGCGCACACUUUCGUACUAACUACUGAGCCAGCCCUCCAGCCAGCCCCCACACCUACGCACCAACCUUUCCAGAACUACACACGUAACUCAAUAACUGCUUUUCCUUAGUCACAUGUAAACAAUAAACAUGCAAUGUAUACAAACUUGCAAUAAAUACAUACCAUAUUCACACACAUAUUACAGUUUAUGAGCACAGAUGGGGCUCCGUACUCUAAAAUCCAAAAGCUUAAACUUUUUGAGUGCCAACAAUAAAAAUCCCAUACCUACCUGAAAGAAUCAAAAUGUAAAACUUUAGGUAAAUUUGCCUACAAUUACCUUCAGACUACUAUAUAAGGUACAUAUGAAACAUUAAUGAAUUUCAUGUUUGAUUUGUGUCCCUCCUCGAGUUAUCUUAUUAUAUAUUAUGUUAUUAUAUAUGUAUGCUAACAUAAUACAAUCUGAAAGGAUCUAAAGUUCAAAACCCUUCUAUUGGUUCCCACAUCUUUCAGACAAGGGAGAACCCAGGCCUCCAGGUAAACUAGGGAAAGGCACAUUGUGUCUUUCAGUUCUCUACUAAGACCCUAAAUAGGGACAACUGGAAGACAGCCUAUUCCGGAAGUAUAGUAGCCAUGGCCCAGACCUGGAGCAAGCCUUCUUUUAACAAGAGCCCUGAGAGCACGUUGGUCUGGCUUGAGUAUUCAUUCAGUGCUCAGGAUCUUCCCUGUUACUCAAGAGAUUACCACAUGGCUCUGCCCGCUGAGCACUGUCACCUCCUACCCUAGCAGCAGUGCUGUAAGGUAUCCUGAAGGCAGCAGGACUGGCUGAUGAGAACUGCCUGAUUCUAUGGUGGUGACUGACUGAUAAUUCAGCUAAGAAGAUGAAGCCACGAGGUGGGUCCACACAUUCUAGGCCUGGUUUGGCCAUUUCCAAACGUGUGAGCAAUGACACCACCAAGCUUCAUUUUAUUUUUCUAAAACACAGAAAUAAAGCCACCUCACAGACUCAUCGCAAGAAGCCAAUAAAAUAACAACCAGUUGAUAUGGCAGAAAUUACUUUAAAAACCUAUCUGGAACAUCAUGUUCAAAUCGUCAUCUGUGCGUCUGCUGGCAGGACUUCACCUGGAAUGAUUUUGGCAGUGAAUGCCAGUGACAAACUUAUCCCACUUAGAUCGAUCACUCUGGACAGGAGAAUAAAAUAUAAUUUAGGAGCCAUUUAGGGCUAUAGAAAUUCAGGAAAACAGACUGCAUUUAAAACACACUUUCUUUUUGACGUUGUUCAGCAAUGCUCAUCGUUUUCCUUAUAUAUAAAAACCGUAUUUAGUUGGAGACUCUCCAACUACAUUCAAAGAUCCUUUCUGUAAACCUUAUGUGGUGCGGUCGCUUAUCUGAAUAAGCCAUAAGCAGGACCUCCAGAGCCUUGAAUGACUGCAAGUUCAAAGUUAAUACACUUCUCAUUGAUUAGUCCUGCACAUAUGAUGUUAAACAAAUCCUAUCACUGCUAUUCGCUAAGAGCUGUCUUCUUCUAGAGGACAACACCAAAUUCUCUGGCUGCUUUUGUUCACCAUGGAAGAUGAAAGCCAAUUGCUGUUGCUCUGGGCAGACUGUGCAGUCAAAACAAAAGAGACAUCAGAGAAAGAGGAAACUGCAAAGAGGCAUUAGAUAUUAAUCUCAUAUUCACCAAGGGAAAAAAAAAUCUUCGCUUGGUUCUCCUUUCAGAGUUUAAAAGAGUACAAAUUUCCUUUUCUUUAACUGCCUUAUAAUUCAGAGCUCUUUAUCCAAAGCCCUUUCUUUUUACCUCAUUUCAGCCAUGAAAGUCUCUCAAAUACUGUUAGGAGCAAACAAAAAUCACGUCUCUUCUUGACCCUAUUUUAUUUUAUUCACACCUCUUGAUCUCUUUCACUUCCUUCAUGAAAAUGUUCAACAUCUGGAGGCACACUAGAUCCCAAAGAUAACAUUCCUUAUCACAUUGCCUUCCUAAAUACAACCUACUACUCAGACCUGAGGCUAUUUAUGUUUUAUGUUUUCUUGUAAUCUCCUCUAAAAUGAAGUCGCUAAGAACAUCAAUGGUUCUUUUAAAAGACAGGUUCAACUUAUGAGUUCCUUCUUGAUCCAUUUGAUCUUCCAAAAGAGCCAUUUAAAAAAAAUCCUGUGAACACAGAUGCAAAUACAGUCUACCGUGUAUAUGCUCGGAACUUUAUCUGACACACAGUGAGUGCUAAGUAAGGUUACUGUCUGUAAUUAUUACUACACAUCUUUUGCCAUUCGUCUCCCUAUAUCUGCCUUCAAAAUGGUACACCACUGGCCUCCUCCUGUGCUAUCGGCAGAGGUGAUGGAUGAAAUAAGUAAUUCAUAAUCAUUCACUUCAAGGAAGUAAGCACUCUAAAGAAGAGAAUGCAAAAGAAUGGAUUAUCAUAUAUAAUAGCAAAGGGCCCAGCCACCACAGUUACAUGAUGUGCUGCAAGCAUGGUCACAUGGAUGCGGAGAGAGCACUCAGACUCUCCCAGCAUGGACAACUAUGACCAACAGGUUGAAGUUGUAAGGUAGCAGCUUAAGGUUCAACAUGAAGAAGAGAGUUUCAUUCUUCAUAGCUGACCACCUAGAAAGCCUUGGGAACCAACGAGCAAAGGAGACUCCUCCAGGAAUAUUGUAAACAGAUAGAAUACCACACAUAAUCAAAGCUCUCCAAUUCACUGGUAGCUGCAGAAGCUGAAGCAUGAAGUGGAAUGCUGUGUCACUGCUAGUAAACUAUAUAUAGAAAUAAACUCAUUUAUCAACACAACCUCUCCUACAAAGCCGUGUACAGUAGCCCUCCUUUAUUCGCAGGAACUAUACUCUGAGACCCUUACCAGAUGCUUGAGAAUUAGACAAACCCCUGCAUUUAUCCUCAGAUGUACAUACAUGUGAUAGAGCUUAAUUUACAAACCAGGUGAAGCAAAAGAGUAGCAUCAGCAGUAAUGAAACAAAAAAUUAAAACAUGUGAUAAGCUAUUUAAAAUUUAUGAAUUAUUUAUUUAUGGAAUUUUUUGAGUAGUUCAUUGUGGCUGAAACACAGAAAACUAGAGGAGACCACUGUACACAUAAAAUGAGUAAAAUAAACCCAAUUACAGCUCAUCACAUUAAAUACUGAAUUCUAAUUUUUCUGACUACUUUUCUUUUUUUAAUUGUUAAUUCAUUCUGCUUGAAUUUUGUCGGCUAUGCUUAUCAUUUGUCAAGAGCUGGUCAGUCAAAGACAGGCACAGUGCCCCAUCUCUUAGUGGUUAAACUGGAGACACUCACGGAUGGCUUUCAUCCUUUGAAGGCAUGCCACUUUAAAGCCACGCUCGGAUUCUGAAUGGCAUGUGUACACACAUCACAGAACGUUCUAGUGCUUUGCUUUCACGUGUCAGUGUCCGUGGUUUCUCGCACACAGCUCUAAGUCCUGUUACUGCCUUGUCCCUCAAAAACCAAAUCUCAUUUUCUCUCCUUAAAACAAAUGGAAGAAACGCUUUCCAACACUUUACUGUUUUCCUUCACACAGAGAUCGCAGAAGCUGGAUGCAAAGAAGAAACAGGACUAAAUGAAUAACGGCUCAAAUAAAGUACAUAAAAUCAAGAAUA